rnacentral:rRNA from 1 species
UACGGGGGGGGGCGAGCGUUGUUCGGAAUCAUUGGGCGUAAAGGGUGCGUAGGUGGUGCUGUAAGUCUGACGUGAAAUCUCUGGGCUUAACCUCGGGUCUGCAGUCGAUACGAGCAAACUAGAGUGUUGCAGGGGAGACUGGAAUUCCUGGUGUAGCGGUGAAAUGCGCAGAUAUCAGGAGGAACACCGGUGGCGAAGGCGGGUCUCUGGGCAACAACUGACGCUGAGGAGCGAAAGCAUGGGGAGCGAACAGG